rnacentral:rRNA from 1 species
UACGUAGGGUGCAAGCGUUGUCCGGAAUUAUUGGGCGUAAAGAGCUCGUAGGCGGUUUGUCGCGUCUGCUGUGAAAACGCGAGGCUCAACCUCGCGCCUGCAGUGGGUACGGGCAGACUAGAGUGCGGUAGGGGAGAUUGGAAUUCCUGGUGUAGCGGUGGAAUGCGCAGAUAUCAGGAGGAACACCGGUGGCGAAGGCGGGUCUCUGGGCCGAUACUGACGCUGGAGGAGCGAAAGCGUGGGGAGCGAACAGG